GUAUGUGAAAAGAGGUAGGGCAACAAACACUAACCACUCAAAAAUGCAGUGCAGACUUCGUUAAAAAAUGAUAAAUAGAUCGUAAACGAGACAGAUCUAUUCCAAGCAGAUUCGUGACAAGAAUUCAAGAGUUUCUAGUUGAACAACUAUUAAUACAAACUAAAAACACUUCAACGGUGUUGGUAAAAGAGAAGAGCGGGAAGCUAAGUAUUUAUGUAUGAGCCCAUACGCCAUAGCAGCCGUACCAAA